AAACGAUUGCAAGGGCAACUCUGACAAGCGACAGAGAAUUUCUUGGCAUUGUAGUAUUUACGAUUAUGGUCCCUGAUGAAGAGCACGUCGCAGAGUCCACCAUUUUGACGCUUGUCUUUCGAACACUGACACACUUGCUCCGGCGAAUCGCACUGGAAUUGGAGUGUACUGACCAUUGGCUAACUCGUCGUAAGAAGGACCCAGGUACAGGUCCUUCUGGGUCCAAGUUGGAGGCACGUAAUCACCGGCACCCCCGUAAUGAGCCCAUACUCUGUUUACAAUCAUUUCUAUCAAAUUAUAGAAGUGUCUGUCUUAUAGUGUUUCUUUGAAUCUCAAUCUCCGAAGACAGGAUAUACAGAGUUGAACUACUCGAAGAACUUGCAGCUGUCGUUUCUGACAAGGAACUUCCAUCAAUUUUCUUCGCGAGUAAUCUGUCUACCUCUUCGCACCACCUUUUCCAGAGAGACUUUCUUCUUUGUAUACCAGAGAGUUCAUAAUAGUUUGUCCUUCCAUCGAUGAAUCUAAUUGCAUCGGAUCAUUGAUCAGGUAUUGUGUAUAGAUUAUGAUUAAUUAAGACUCUGAUCAGUUAAGAGGAAGUGUAGGGGAAGGGGGAGAUGAGGUUCUAGGGUGGGCUUCUUGCUAGACUCUCCCAAAAUGAAAAGCAAGUAAUGAGGGACCUUCUUCUACUUAUAUUUGCUCUCAGCUAAAGGAAGUCUGCGUUACAGAGGAGACACCAGUUAGGUUUAAUCGUAAGUUACAUUGGUAGAGCAUCUAGCUUUAGGACAUUGAAGUGAUAAGAAAAGGCAAGUGGUAGAGUUACCAUUAACCACUUGCCAAAUCUUUUACACAAAUCUUUUUCUUAAACGUCUACCUUGCCUUUAAUGUUUUGCGACGUCUCCUGCUGAACACACUGAUGGUGACAUAUUGCAAAGGAUACACCGAGAUCAGCUCAAAACUUUCGAUGCUGGGGUCAAGAUCACGAGGACAAAAGAACUCUGAAUUCCCUCUGAAAACGUCUCCAGCUAUGAUCAACUUGGUCGGCGUGAGAGCAAGAGAAACUUGACGAAUUCCUCGUCCAUAUCUGUUGGUCUCAGCGAAGGAAGACUCCACGAUGAUGGUAUCAGAAAAGUCGGUGUAUUCGGAAGCCAGUAAUCUUUGAAUUCUAUUCUCUUCCAUUUCAUGGUUCCUCGUUCGGUGACGAGGUUUCCUAGUUGUAUGCAUCGAGUAGGAGGGUCUUUUAGACAAAUCAUCUAAGAAAUUCAAUUGGACAACUUUUCCAAUGACGACUGAUUUGUGCAGCGAGUUGUUCACUCGGUAGAGGUUAAUCUAAGAGCCAAAUGUGCUCGCUUAGAGGCUUAACAGCUUCUCGGUUCAUGACAGAGGGCGUUUAGAAUUUUGCAAUAUUCCUGUGGCUCGAUUAGACUUGAACGUAGUUGCAUAGAAAAUGAAGUAAUCAAAAAGGGUCGUCGAUAGUUUAUUUUGAAGGAUCAUUGUUUUGAAAUAGGUAGUGAAGUUGUAUUGUAAAGAACGUGAACCGAGGCUAUCAGUGAGCCACGCAAACGUGUUAGGGGAAUACAGUAAAAUGCAACCAAAUUUUAUUACAUAUCAUCGUGUUUAUUUUUCAGUUCGAUGCCUCCAUCGAGGUUCACGACUCGUACAUAGUCGGCGACGGAGGAGACUAAGGUUUAAAGACAACCGGCUCUACGUGGUAAAAAGGUAUCGCAGUGCCUUGUCUUGGUUAAUUAAGGGUGUUUAGCCUUUUUUUUUUUUAACUCCUUAUUCGCUAUUAUACGAUAAUAAAUAACAUACAAAAAAAGACGUACAGGUAAAAGACGUAAAAAAGAAGCUCGCCAAUAGGGGGAGCGGUCUUUAAUCUAGAAUAAAAAUCGAUGUAGGUUCAAAGAACGUGCAAAAAUGUACAAAGUGGCAUCAGAGGUACAUGGUGGACUCCUAAUCGUUAUAUUCGACUUAAACGAAUGCUAACUUCUUAUCGAUUAUUAUUCUCUGGAUUCACUUUGAUGGUGACUUUGUUGUUCAGAGCAGACGCGAGCUUCUCUACGUUACUUUGAGCCAGCUUUCCUGCUUCCGAAUUCGUUGUCUCGUUGGUGGACGCUGCUGAGUUCUCGGGAAUCGGCUUGAUGGGUGGUUGUGCUUCCUGAAAUGGAAAAUUCUUGAGUUUCGUGAAACUUUGUAAAAAUCAUUAAUAUUUCCUGAAUAAUUAUCCAAAAUAUUUUUUAUCAUUUUUGUCUCCCUUUAGGCCAGCGGUCACCAAACUAUGGCCCGAGGUUUUCAUUGGGCCCCUAACUUUUAUUUAUAAAUAUUUUAUAUAAGAAAUAUUAAUUCUAUAAAUACACGACAACGAUUCUUCUAUUGUUCUAUAGUGAUUUGGUAUAAGACUUUCAAGUACAGUAAUGUCUCUCACGCUGUCUCAAUGUUGCUCUACCCACUUUGUCCACCGGUUUCUUCCUACGCUUAUGUUCUAUUUUUCGUCCAACUCCCAUUUGAAAAUUUUUAAAAAUUUCCCGUUUCUCAAAAAAGUUUGGUGACCCCUGCUUUAGGCAAAAGGUGGGCACCGUGUCUUUCGUUUGUUCUUAUUAUUUAAAAAUUGUCACACUCUUUCAACAUUGCGAAACCGUGUACAUAUCCUUAUCUAUACGCGAUAGAAACUUCUGCAUAUCUCUGGUCACAUAAUUUCCGUUUUCAGAGACGCAGUUCGCUUACGUAUGUAAUAUUCCAAGAACACGUUAUCUCGUGUACAAUGGACAGUGAAAUAAACUUUUACCCCUUCAGUCUUUCUUCUUAAAUUCGAUCUCUGCAAAGUUGCAGCCAAUUCGUUCUGCAGCCUGGAAACCACUGGCCCGUUCGCCAGUUCCUCGGUUCCGUUUCUGUCGUUGCGCGGUUGCUGCGACAGGAAGUCCAACUUGGAAGGCUGUUUAGCUUCUCCUUCGUACGCUCCUAUCCUAAUGGCGACUUUUCCGCUGGCGGGUUUCAAAUUUUGUGCGCUCGGAGCUGGCGGUGGUGGGAUAAUCUUCGGUGUUUCCGAUACGGGACUUGUUGACUCUUUCCCGUUAACCUGCGGUUUGUUUCCGGUAGGGGUAUGUCGAGGACUUCCGUUCGUCAUAGGCACGGAAUUCUGGAAAUAGGUCGGAGGUGGUUUUGGAAUCACUGGAUUGGGUGUUUCUUUUAAUUUAAAAGAUUCGAUGCUUUGCAUCUCCACUGAAUCCUCGUUAGGCUUGCUUUUGGAAGGAAGCGGAAGUGGAGGAGGAGCUGGCGGAGCGGGGGUUGCUGUAAACGCUGGAGGUGCUGGAGGUGCAGGUGGAAUAUUCGGCGGUGAUGUAUUCAGUACCCUCUUCUCUUGUUCCUAGGGACAAUUAGGAAUGAAAAAUUAAUUUAGAAAAAUUACAAUUGAAUUUUCUACAAUAAUUUGUAGAGCAGUGAAAAUUAAAGGAUAUCCAUUUCUCUUUCUUUCAUCUUACAUUCUGAACUGGUUUCGUUUAAACAAUUACGUAUCCUUUAAUUUUUUCAAUCUACAAAGGUGUAAAUUAGUGUUCCUCUUAGCUCCACUGCGUAUUAAACUGAUGUUAAACAGAGUGAUACAGGUGACAACUAACAUCGUAAGGUGUAAUAGUAACCACCACGCGACUUCUCUUCUUCGAUUCACUAUUCAUGAUUUCGAAGCUUCAAGAAGCAUUUUUCGAUCGACUAUUAUCCUUUUCGUCAGCGCUGCGUGACUGGAAGCAAUUUUUCUAAGUCACUCUCAGGGUUUGUUAAUUAACAUAGUCCGCGUAGAACGUUCGUAACACUAAACAGAAACAACUUCGCCUUUAUUUUCCUUCGAAUUUCGCAUCACCCGAUUAUGGCAAUUCGUAACAACGUUCCUUAGUCGGAAAAUGGUAAUCACACUUUUUACUUAAUUACAGUGCGGAGUCAACGUUGGUCGUAGGUUGCGGUAUCUGUCGGCUAGCCACCUUGAAACCGAUCGCACGCCACGGACUCGAGUCGACUGAAAACAGUCACGAGCUCCUCAAGCUCUUAUGUAAACUCUAUUAUUUUGCACUUUUGCCGCAAUUCGUAAGAUGUACGAUCGGGGGAGGGACAAAACCGGGGAACAAAAGUGGACGGUGUGCGCGCUCGCGCGUGUACCAACCGAGGCCGAUGAUUGAUAAAUCGUUUAAUAAAUACGCUUGAUUACCGUCUGAUAACUCGAUUACAUAAUCAGCUAACGAAUCCACGGUAGUAUGAUAUUUUUAAAACGAUUCGAUUGGUAUACGAUUACCCGAUAAUUUUCUGAUUAGUUAAUUAGUUAAUUAAUGAAAUCGUUCGAGCGGUUUAGAAAGCCUUCGAUAUUCAACCGCGCUAUUAUUGUAUCUUGAACGUCGAUCGGCUUAAUUAAUCGGUUACGUUUUAAUUAAAGGCGCGAUUUAAAACCACCGUUCUACAGAAUUCGGCUACAGAAGUAAUACGUGACACGGAAAUACGAAUUAUCUCUCAGUUUCAACGAUCCACGGUGUAUUACGGUUAUUAAACGUGACUCGUACAUAAACUUCAACCGCACCUGACCGUUUAUGCACUCACACGAUCGCGUACAGUUCCUUUCGAACGUCAGACAAUGACUGCUCCGGUGCCUUUGUAAUUUCGAUGCUUUAUCUGUUUACUUUGGCAGAUCUCUCGGUGUUGGUUGUGUAAUUACCAUCGCAAGAAAGCAUUCCCGGCUACCAUCGAAAGAUUCACCGAGAGUGUAUUUGCUUUUAUAUCUUCCCCCUCUCGUUUUAUAUCAAUAUUUAAUUUACCUCGGUUGCCAAGCGUACGUUCGCUCGGGAUUACAUUUUUUUUCCUUUAUCUCGUCCGUCUUUCUCUCGUUGCAAAUUCAAUCACAAGUGCUAAUAGGAUUUUUAAUUAACCGCUUGUCGGGUAUCCCUAGUUUCCGCUUUUUCCAUCGCGAGCAUCGCCCUCCGCGUGCGCUCGCGUUCGACCAAUUUUACCUAUGCACGCUCGAGAUCCUUUCUGUAAUUAGAAGCUCUUGUCUUCUCGCUAAAGAAAGGAGACGGUGAAAGUAACGAGUGUAGUUUUUAAUAAUCGUUCCUGUCCAUAUAAUUAUGUACAAUUUAUCUGGAAACAUUGUAUUCUGUGUAAAAGUGUAUUUAACACUAGAUUGUCGGAGCGAUACAAUUUGACUCAUUUACGAUUUUUAGAAAAACUUAAAUAAUUUUUAAAUUUUUAAAUUUAAUCUAAUAUACAAAUACUAAUUCCUUCCACUCUCCGCAUUUUAGUUCCAAAAAUCCAUAUGUGCUAUGCCUAUUUUGAAGGAUCUAUUUGUCCACCAAUCUAGUGUUAAAAGCUAGAUCCUUGUCAGUGUGACUUAAAAUUAAAAAAAAAAAGUUAGAACCUCUCUAAAGUUCUUUCUCGACAAAAGAGACGCUUAUAUAAAUACCGCGAAUUGUUCGAAAACAAUUGAAAAAGAAUCACGUAAUGGAGCAUAAAAAAGGAACACUGGUUUACCAGAAAGAUAAGCUUAUCAUUCUCUUACCUGCUCCGGCGUUUGAUCAGAGAAGUGAACCUUCUGCUGAGCGGAGUUGAACAUCUUCCGGUGUGCGCGUUUGAAUUCCUCCAUCAGCUGCAAAGAAUGUUGCAAUUACUUGAAAAUAAAGAGAACGAAAUGAAAUCGCGAGUGCGCAGCUCGCUCCAUCCGCGUUCACUUAUAAACUGGAGAAGAUCCCCGAGCGUACUCGAGCGAGCUGCGCGCCUGUGAAUCCGUCCUUCGAUCGUGCAAUAAUUUUUUAAUUAGAUCAACUCUCUACUCGUUAUUACCGCGCACCGUUUAACGACAACUAUUAAUGUAUAUCGUACUUAUUAGAAAAUCCACAGGCAAAUGUAUGUGUGUACCGAUUCAUUUUAUAGAUUACUAUUACCCUGAUGUACACUUUAAUGGACGAUUAAUUACACGGACAAUUAAGUAGCGUUGGAAGUGAAUGAACCUCUGGUACGAUAGAGAGGAACAAGUGUCGGAGAUAGUGCAGGAGAGAUCGAGUGGGUGUUGCUGAUAUGAACAUCUGGUUCUCACGUUAAGGGAAGAAUGAUAGGAGCGCGUUGUUUGUGUCGGUAUAAUUGCAUCGAGAGCGUAAUAGAGUCAUAGCGUGUAAUGGAGUAUAAUUGGAGGGUCAGAGAGUUGAAUUAACCCUUUCCCUGUGAAUCGCGUGUGGAUUCGCAUUUUCGAAAAUUGAUCGUUAAUCGCAAAGAGGAUAUGUGAACGGUUGAUCGUUGCAAUUGUCGAGGAUAUUCUUUGUAUUUCUCAACUUUUAAAAGUACCUUGUCGUGCGUCACUUUCUGUUCCUGUGCCCUAAGUGCUUCCGGAUUCGGAGGCUUCCGUGGUUCCAGAUUUUUCUCCUUAGCGGCAUCCGUUUUGGCAGCGUUGUUCAUUCUCUGAAAGAUCGCAAGAAGCGUGUCGAUGAUCAGGUGUUUCGCGAAAGACUGAUCAAAUUAAUCAUUCGCUAACGCGAAGAAGCAUCAAUAACUACGUCAUACUUUUGAAUUUUUUCUAAAACGAAAUGACGAAUUAAAUCUCUGAUUAUUUUAUCGUCGUGAAGGAGAAACUAUCUAUAAAGGGAAUCCUUAUCUACGCGGAUAACGCAGAGAUAACAGAAGGAGGGAAACAGUUACAACGAAUCACGAUGUCGCAAAAAUUUUCUUUUCAAUGAGCUUUAUUAUUAGGAAUGUUUUUGAUUGAUACUCGAAGUAAUCGAUAACAGAUGAAAAUAAUAAAAUGAAAUUUUAAGCGCCUUCUCGAGAAGAGGAGAAAACGCAAAGAGGAAAAAUCGGAAUUCCAGUAACGCGAUACACAGACUGUGCGUGCAUCGCGUAUUACUUUCUUUGAAAAUAAGAAAAACAGAAAGAUCCCUUGAUCCUACUACCUGCUGCGCCCGCCUCUGCAAUUCUUGCGUUAUGGCAGUGCUUAGGUCGGUGCAGGCGAUCGGCGAUGUCCUUGUGGCGCAAUUGCGAGACGUUGGGUGCGCGGUGGUCGCGGUGGUCACGAUGGUGUCAUUGGUUUUAUUGGUCCCAGUCGAGGCAGCAGUGAUCGAACCAUAGGAAACCGUCGACGGAGGCUCGCAGGAUGACGUCGAUAAGGAGGAAGAAGUCGAGGCGGAAUCUUUGCUGCAAGAUGACUCGAGGCUCGAUUCGGUCUCGGUCGAGCCAGUACUGCCCAUCGACAUCGUGCUACCCAUUUGCAUACCCAUGGCGUUCAUUGGCUUCGUUUCUGCAACCAUAGCAAACUCUUUAUGAUCCUAAUAUAGGAUUUUGAAAAAUAUCAAAAAGGCCACUUGUAAGGAAGAGGUGGAGGAGGUGCUGGUGGACACACUGAUUGAUGAACCUCUACUGUCGUCACUGUUUUCCUUUCCCCUUCUUGCGAGCCAUUUUCCUGGAACAAGAUGGAACAGAGAAGUUU